rnacentral:RNase_P_RNA from 16 species
GGCAGAGAGAGCUCAGCUCCCGUGGUCGAUACAAUGGUGAAUGAUGUAUUGACACAUCAACUGCCGUAUCGGCAAACGAGGAAAGUCCCCCCACCGUCUGGACAGGUGACCGAGCACAAGCUUGGAGUUGGAGACAGCUGGCACUGGAACAGAAACGAUACCACUCAGCCUGACCAAUGAGACGUGCGAACCACCCCGUAAGGGACGGCAGUUAACCCGUCGAGGGAGCGGCUAUGUGACGUGUCGAUAACGGAAUAAAACCGCAUUAGAUGGGUGAGAAUGGAUGGAACGGCGAAUCCUCACCGGUGCAAGUCCACGCCAGAAAGGUAGUCCGGACAGGGCGUGGACGCUUAGCCGAAUGCUGAGUUGAACAGAAGGGGGCUUACUCCUCUCAGCC